rnacentral:rRNA from 1 species
GACGAACGCUGGCGGCGUGCUUAACACAUGCAAGUCGAACGCUGUGGCGAACGGUUGAGUACUACGUGGUUAACCUGCCCUCCUUUUUGGGAUAAGCCUUGGAAACGGGGUCUAAUACCGACUACAGGUGGAUGGGCUCGAGGCCUAUCAGCUUGCUGUUGGGUUGAUGGCCUGCCAAGGGGGUGACGGGUAGCCGGCCUGAGAGGGUGAGCGGCAACAUGGGGACGGGGAGACGGCCCAGACUGCUACGAGAGGGAGCAGUGGGGGAUAUGGAGAAAUGGGUGAAAGCCUAAUGAAGCGACGGCGAGUGGGGGAUGAGGGGUUUAAGGUUGUAAACCUCGUUCGCGAGCGAAAGGGUAGGUGGAGAAGAAGCGACGGCUAACUACGUGCCAGCAGCCGCGGUAAUUC